rnacentral:lncRNA from 1 species
CUGAGGACCAUGACCCGGGGCCUUUCUUCCCGAAGGUAGAAGGGGCACCAAAGAAGUGGGGUGCACAGAGUGGUUAUAUACCCCCAGAGAGGAUGUUUCAUAGGAUUGAAAUGUCCCUUUUACAAUAGUCGCGAGACUGCUCUGUCGGCACAGCGAUUGAUGAAACAGCAGGUAGGUCUGCUGUCUCGGUGAACACAGCAGGGUGGCAAGUCUGUUGUCUCCAGCUGAGUGGUCACAGGUGAGCUGGGUGGUCAAAGGUGAGUGCAGCAAUCAGUUCCUAGACUGAGGAAAGAUGCUUAUCUCUAAGGGAAUGCCAAUGUGGGGGGAAGUUGCACCUUUAUCUCAAGGGCCUUUGUUCUUGCCAUAGGAAAUAUCUAAAGCAGCUAUACAAUGCGUGCUCGACAACCACAGUCAGGCCCUUUUGGAAAAAACAAAGUCAGGCCGAAUUAGGUUUAUACCAAAUGGCUUCCUCAUAUACUCCAAUAUAUCCUAUUGCUUGCCAUUUUUAUUUGUCAUUUUCCCCUUUUGAUCUCUAAUCUUUUGAUAGAAAGCAUUAAUGAUCAAAAUAUUGUCCCUCGGCACCAGGGUGGUUGCUGCCUGCCCUGGGUCCAUCAUGUCCCUCGGUGCUAGGCUUUUAUCUCAUUAUUUGCCUAGUCAUCCACGUUGGGGGGAAAUAGUGGACAAGCAUGGAGUUAUAUAUAUUAACAGAGGAAGCAUUUCAUAUGUCAUGUAAUUUCCAAUUAAUUUUAGGUUGUUGCACACUGUAUAUGUGCUUUUCUACGACACUUCACAUUUACAUUGUAUAUGAUUAUAGAACAAGCACAGUAACAAUAAUAACUCAGCAUUUUUAAAAGGAUUGGUCUGAAAUGAAUUCUUAGCCAUAGUCCCUAUCAGAAAAGGAAAUUUGUCCAGGGUUAUAAGACAGAUCAACCAUCUCAAGCCGUCGAGCAAUCAUUACUCUAGUUUGUAUGCUACUCUUACAACACUGAGUAAAGAAAACAACAAUUAGUUUGAAUAUUAUGACUAGUACAAGAAUUCCAAGAAGUAGUAGAAAUAGGAUUUCUAAUCUGGAUCGGAAAAGGGAACUGAUAGGGGAAGGGAGCUAACCAAACAAUUCAAGACUGGGUGUCAGAUCGCAUAAGGCAUCCACUUGCUUCUUCAUGUGCUUCAGCAGAGAUGACACAUUGGAAGAUUCAUCAGGUGUAAAAGCACAGCAUCCAGUCUGAAUGAUUGUAUAUGUACCACCUUGGGAUGCAGUAAGAAUAUCUAAAGCCAUUCUGUUUUGAAGGACAGCCCCUCUCAUUACAGACAUUUCGGCAUUUGAAUAAGGCUAUUCCUGCUUGACUAUCAUUAAGGGCUUCUUGAGUAAAUUUAGCCAGAGCUUCCAUAUGUAAUAAUGACAUCUUUUAGCCCCAAAGAAGAAGCACAUGUAGCUGCAAAUAUAGCCAUACCAGUGUAACACCGAACAAGCCCAUCUGGCCUUAAAGAGAGGGAGGUUGGCAACAGGUUUUAACUCAGCCUGACUCCUUCCCUGCUUUUAAAAGAAACUCAGCGUGCAGUGUUUUAGCCAUCCAGGCAGUAGCCAAGGCCAAAGAUUUGUUCCACAUAACCACUGAGUUCCAUUAGGAGUCACUCGAUAAAUGCCUGGCCUUCAAGACCACUCUGUUCCAAAUUAAUCACUUUAAGUAUGAUAGCAUUUCAAACAAAUUAUAAAAUAGGCAUACAGUUUAAGCAUAACAAAUGUUUAAAUGAGGAGAUACAAGGUUAGGAAUACAGGCCUGGUCCGGAGUCUUGGGACAGCUGUCUACAACAGAUGCCGUCUUCUUCUCCUCCUGGUUUGGUCCUUUUCAACAGGGCUGCAAACAGUCUUAUUUGAUGUCUCUUUCAAUAAAUAAAUUCUUCAGGUUACAGUCCCA